rnacentral:miRNA from 1 species
UGUGUGUGUGUGUCCUGAGUUUGAGAGAGGGGCAGGACUUGGCUCGCUCCGUGAACAGUUCGGUCAGUGUGAGUGUUCACAGUGGCUAAGUUCCGCUCCUCACAAGC